AUUGAACGCUGGCGGCAGGCCUAACACAUGCAAGUCGAGCGGUAGCACAGAGAGCUUGCUCUCGGGUGACGAGCGGCGGACGGGUGAGUAAUGUCUGGGAAACUGCCUGAUGGAGGGGGAUAACUACUGGAAACGGUAGCUAAUACCGCAUAACGUCGCAAGACCAAAGUGGGGGACCUUCGGGCCUCAUGCCAUCAGAUGUGCCCAGAUGGGAUUAGCUAGUAGGUGGGGUAAUGGCUCACCUAGGCGACGAUCCCUAGCUGGUCUGAGAGGAUGACCAGCCACACUGGAACUGAGACACGGUCCAGACUCCUACGGGAGGCAGCAGUGGGGAAUAUUGCACAAUGGGCGCAAGCCUGAUGCAGCCAUGCCGCGUGUGUGAAGAAGGCCUUCGGGUUGUAAAGCACUUUCAGCGGGGAGGAAGGCGAUAAGGUUAAUAACCUUGUCGAUUGACGUUACCCGCAGAAGAAGCACCGGCUAACUCCGUGCCAGCAGCCGCGGUAAUACGGAGGGUGCAAGCGUUAAUCGGAAUUACUGGGCGUAAAGCGCACGCAGGCGGUCUGUCAAGUCGGAUGUGAAAUCCCCGGGCUCAACCUGGGAACUGCAUUCGAAACUGGCAGGCUAGAGUCUUGUAGAGGGGGGUAGAAUUCCAGGUGUAGCGGUGAAAUGCGUAGAGAUCUGGAGGAAUACCGGUGGCGAAGGCGGCCCCCUGGACAAAGACUGACGCUCAGGUGCGAAAGCGUGGGGAGCAAACAGGAUUAGAUACCCUGGUAGUCCACGCCGUAAACGAUGUCGAUUUGGAGGUUGUGCCCUUGAGGCGUGGCUUCCGGAGCUAACGCGUUAAAUCGACCGCCUGGGGAGUACGGCCGCAAGGUUAAAACUCAAAUGAAUUGACGGGGGCCCGCACAAGCGGUGGAGCAUGUGGUUUAAUUCGAUGCAACGCGAAGAACCUUACCUGGUCUUGACAUCCACAGAACUUUCCAGAGAUGGAUUGGUGCCUUCGGGAACUGUGAGACAGGUGCUGCAUGGCUGUCGUCAGCUCGUGUUGUGAAAUGUUGGGUUAAGUCCCGCAACGAGCGCAACCCUUAUCCUUUGUUGCCAGCGGUCCGGCCGGGAACUCAAAGGAGACUGCCAGUGAUAAACUGGAGGAAGGUGGGGAUGACGUCAAGUCAUCAUGGCCCUUACGACCAGGGCUACACACGUGCUACAAUGGCAUAUACAAAGAGAAGCGACCUCGCGAGAGCAAGCGGACCUCAUAAAGUAUGUCGUAGUCCGGAUUGGAGUCUGCAACUCGACUCCAUGAAGUCGGAAUCGCUAGUAAUCGUAGAUCAGAAUGCUACGGUGAAUACGUUCCCGGGCCU
rnacentral:rRNA from 1 species